AAUCUCAUUCUUAUUACUGUAAUGUGAAAAAAGUAUAUGUUAUGUAUGAAGACUUCAACAGAUCUUGCUUACAUUUCAAUAGCCGUUGCUGAUACCGGAAGUAAGUUUACCCUGCGAGGGCCACCCCCAAAGCGAGAAACGCGGAAGUGUGAAAAAGGCCUAUUAUCUGCCUGAUCUCAUGAAAUUUACGUGAACGUGACAACAUUUUUGCAUUUCAUAAUUUACGUGCUGUAUAACAUGUUUGGCUGCAUUUUUCCAGUGGAAUGUCCAGCUGGGGGUGCCAAAAGUGAGUAAAAUGGUGUCAUAUUCAGACGAGGCUUUAAGGUGAAUUUUAGAUGGAUGUUUUUUCCCUAACCAGAAACUUUUGCCUGAACCUAACCCAAUAGUGUUUUAAAAUAUAAAUGAGAUUUUAAAAAGACAUCCUUACCAAAUAAACCCCUAAACCUAACCAUUAGUUUUUUUUUAUAUGCAGAAGCGAAAUGAAAAAGCACAUUUUCUGAAGAAACUACAUCAUUUUGUGCCACUUCUAUGACUCCAAUUCUGAGUCCAACCUCCUGUCAGAUUGGACCUGCUGGAGCCCAGAGGUUGAACCCUCCCACCGACACUCACCUGUAUUUCCCAAAUACCUCAUUACUUCAUCAGUGCCACUUUGUUAUGAGAACGAUCAUUACUGGGUAUGGCUAAUUAGCAAGCAAUCAAUCAGAGCAUGCAAGCUAACUGGCACCCCCAUUAAGGCCAAGACAUCAGCAGGGAUGGCUGCCUACUGCUUAUAAAUCCAUUUACAUAAAGAUCUGGAUUGAUGAGUGACCUUCCAGAUCAGCUCAGCAUACCUCAACUGCAUUAAAGAUAUGUGCCAUCCUUAAAUGGGUUCAUCAUUGCAACAUAAGUUUGAGUACAAGCAGUGAUGACACCUCAGGCGUCUAGGGUGGAUAAGAGCCGCACCAGUUCUGAAAUUACAAUAAGAACAUGGGCACUCAUGAACAAGCAACUCUACUGGAAUGCGCCAAUUAAUCUCAAGUAUGUUCUUGAUUUGAUCCCAUCGAACCCUGUAUGGAUUGAGUGCUAGUUACUCAAAAAAACAUUUCACCCUCAUAAACACAGAAUGCGUUAUUUGUGUGGACCUCUACUCAAAGUUCAUAUUCUGCUUGCUUUGUUUUUAGGUCCACCUCUCAAUCUUCACCUAUUAUGCCUUGUUUUGCCUUGUCUGAAUGCCUUAAUUUUUUUGUUUUUGUGUUGUUGCAAAGAUAUCCUUUUAUAAGGUAUAUCCUUAUAAAACAUGUUUAAAAAAAAAAAAGAAACACAUUUGGCUUCACCAUGAUAUGAAAUUGCCUAUGUUUGGAAUGGCAUACUAACAUACUACUCUUAUUAUUUCUGCAGUACAUAGUAUGUAUACUGAGCACAGGUUUUAUGCAUUUAAUAUCCAGAUGUCCUAUUACUUUUGCCAAAAUGUGCAGUGUUGAACACACUUGACCUUCCAUUUUCAGUGUGAUGAAGUAAUUACAGACGUGAUUUUAAAACAUCUCUUUUUUUGACUCAUUUCAUCAGACUGCCAAAAAAGAAGACAUUUUAACACAAAAUGUUAUUUAAAAAAAUGCAAAAUAACUAUAUUCGUUUCCAAGAUGAUAACUAGACAGCACUUACAAUGUGCAAUGUGAUGAGAUCAUGUGGCAACAAUGUAGCAUACUGUGUGAAAUGUUGGUAACACUUUCCAAUAAGGUUCUAUUCAUUAACAUUUGUAAAUGCAGUAGUUAUCAUCACUUAACAAUUAACAAUGAUUAUCUACAGCUUGUAUUAAUCUUGGUUAAUGUUUAUCAUACAAAUACAAUGGGUUCAUUGUUAGUUCAUAUUAAUUCAUAAUUUAUUAACCAGUGUUAACAUAGACAACCUUUAAUUUUGAAUUUUUUUAGUAUAUGUUGAAAUUAACAUCAAACCAGAUUAAUAAGUGCUGUAAAAGAGUUGUUAAUUGUUAGUUCAUGUUAACUUAUUAUUGUUAACAAAU